rnacentral:rRNA from 1 species
UUGUCGAUGCCUGCAAACAACCGCGAACACGUUUAUAACAAACCAGCGGGUCGCCGGCGGAUUCCCGUCUGUCGGCACCCGUGCCCUAACAAAACCCCCGGCGCUGGUUGCGCCAAGGAUUACAAAAACGGAUCGUCCGCAUCCCCCCGCGGUGUCCGCGGGACGGGUGCGGCGCGUCUGAAUCGUAAACAAUACGACUCUCGGCAACGGAUAUCUAGGCUCUCGCAUCGAUGAAGAACGUAGCGAAAUGCGAUACUUGGUGUGAAUUGCAGAAUCCCGUGAACCAUCGAGUUUUUGAACGCAAGUUGCGCCCGAAGCCAUCAGGCCGAGGGCACGUCUGCCUGGGCGUCGCGCGCCGUCGUCACCCCUCUCAUCGCGCACUCAACGAUGCGCACGAGUCGGGCGACGGAUGUUGGCCUCCCGUGCCCAUCGCGGCGCGGCUGGCCCAAAUCGGAGUCCUCCUUCCGGGACGUCACGGCAAGUGGUGGUUGAAAACUUCAACUCGAUCGGAGCCGUGACCGAGCCCGCGACGGCGAACUCGGAGACCCCGGAGCCUUAGGGCCCUCGACCACGACCCCA